rnacentral:rRNA from 1 species
UACGUAGGGGGCAAGCGUUGUCCGGAUUUAUUGGGCGUAAAGAGCUCGUAGGCGGUUCCGUAAGUCGAGUGUGAAAAAUCUGGGCUCAACCCAGUGGAGCACUCGAUACUGCGGUGACUGGAGUACGGUAGAGGAGUGUGGAAUUCCCGGUGUAGCGGUGAAAUGCGCAGAUAUCGGGAGGAACACCAAUGGCGAAGGCAGCUCGCUGGGACGUGACUGACGCUGAGACGCGAAAGCGUGGGGAGCAAACAGG